CUACGGGUGGCAGCAGUGGGGAAUAUUGGACAAUGGGGGAAACCCUGAUCCAGCAAUGCCGCGUGUGUGAAGAAGGCCUGCGGGUUGUAAAGCACUUUCGGUUGGGAGGACUGCUUCUAGCACUAAUAUUGUUGGAAGUUGACGUUACCUUCAGAAGAAGCACCGGCUAACUCCGUGCCAGCAGCCGCGGUAAUACGGAGGGUGCACGCGUUAAUCGGAAUUACUGGGCGUAAAGCGCGCGUAGGCGGCUAGAUCAGUCGGGUGUGAAAGCCCCGGGCUUAACCUGGGAACUGCAUCCGAUACUGUCUGGCUUGAGUACAGGAGAGGAGAGUGUGAUUCCACAUGUAGCGGUGAAAUGCGUAGAUAUGUGGAGGAACACCAAUGGCGAAGGCAGCUCUCUGGCCUGAUACUGACGCUGAGGUGCGAAAGCGUGGGGAGCAAACAGGAUUAGAUACCCGUGUAGUC
rnacentral:rRNA from 1 species